GAUGAACGCUAGCGGCAGGCUUAAUACAUGCAAGUCGUGGGGCAGCAUGAGUAGCAAUACUUGAUGGCGACCGGCAAACGGGUGAGGAACACGUACACAACCUUCCUUCAAGCGGGGAAUAGCCCAGAGAAAUUUGGAUUAAUACCCCAUAAUAUAUUUGAUAAGGCAUCUUAUUAAUAUUAAAGCUUCGGCACUUGAUGAUGGGUGUGCGGCUGAUUAGAUAGUUGGCGGGGUAACGGGCCCACCAAGUCUACGAUCAGUAGCUGAUGUGAGAGCAUGAUCAGCCACACGGGCACUGAGACACGGGCCCGACUCCUACGGGAGGCAGCAGUAAGGAAUAUUGGACAAU
rnacentral:rRNA from 1 species